rnacentral:rRNA from 1 species
AACCUGCCCAAGAGACUGGGAUAACACCUGGAAACAGAUGCUAAUACCGGAUAACAACACUAGACGCAUGUCUAGAGUUUAAAAGAUGGUUCUGCUAUCACUCUUGGAUGGACCUGCGGUGCAUUAGCUAGUUGGUAAGGUAACGGCUUACCAAGGCAAUGAUGCAUAGCCGAGUUGAGAGACUGAUCGGCCACAUUGGGACUGAGACNCGGCCCAAACUCCUACGGGAGGCAGCAGUAGGGAAUCUUCCACAAUGGACGCAAGUCUGAUGGAGCAACGCCGCGUGAGUGAAGAAGGGUUUCGGCUCGUAAAGCUCUGUUGGUAGUGAAGAAAGAUAGAGGUAGUAACUGGCCUUUAUUUGACGGUAAUUACUUAGAAAGUCACGGCUAACUACGUGCCAGCAGCCGCGGUAAUACGUAGGUGGCAAGCGUUGUCCGGAUUUAUUGGGCGUAAAGCGAGUGCAGGCGGUUCAAUAANUCUGAUGUGAAAGCCUUCGGCUCAACCGGAGAAUUGCAUCANAAACUGUUGAACUUGAGUGCANAANAGGAGAGUGGAACUCCAUGUGUAGCGGUGGAAUGCGUAGAUAUAUGGGAAGAACACCNNUGGCGAAGGCGGCUCUCUGGUCUGCAACUGACGCUGAGGCUCGAAAGCAUGGGUAGCGAACAGGAUUANAUACCCUGGUAGUCCAUGCCGUAAACNAUGANNGCUAAGUGUUGGGAGGUUUCCNCCUCUCNNNGCUGCAGCUAANGCAUUAAGCACUCCGCCUGGGGGANUACNACC